rnacentral:lncRNA from 1 species
CACAUGAAAAUUCCUACUUACUAUUCACUUUCUUGGACCACGGUCACCAUUCAGACUAGAUAAAGGGUAUGUGCGAGCGAUGAUCAAGGUCAUCUGUUACACGCGUGCUAUUUUUUUGCAAACAAUACUGUGGCACACUACUUCGAUAACGCAACGAAUGCUACAAUUUCCUGCUCGAGUUUCUUAAAACAGUUCAAGCGUCAGUUUUUUACUCAUCUAGCUCUUACCAAAUGUUCGUCAACCAGUAACCAGAUGAAAGUUCUACCCUGGAUUCAUCAGUGUCAAGGAGAAUCGCGUGGACCUCAGGGACUUCACGAUAAUAGGAGUUUGAUGACAUGAGGACAAGGGGACUUCUGCUUGUUUCUUUCGUUGCGUUAUGUCUCGGAGUAUUAGCAUGUAGCGCCACACCAAUUAUUUCGAAGCUGAUAGAUUGGCUGAAAUCGACUGGUAAAACCGAUGAGGUUCCCCCGAAGAGCAGUAUUCCGCCGCCAGCUGUGUAUUUACCGCGAUAUAGCAAAUAAUCUCUUCCUCGGUUGGAGAAUACCGAGAAAAUUGUAGAAUUUGUGUUUUGAAGGAACGAAGGGUGGACGUCAAGCGUUGACUAUGGAGCAAUUUUGGCGUUUUUAAAUGUUCACGAUGCUCAAGUGUCAUUCUUACCUAGUUGUUACGGCUGGUGUCACUUUAUGGUUCGCAUCCCUAUGCCAUGCCAAUACUGCAAUGGAAGAUGCAAUGGUUACCGCCGGAAAAAUGAUCUUGGAAGCGGCACAAAAUGAUUCACUCAAAGUCCCUACACCGGUUGCAAUACCUAACGUAGCACCUGUUGGACCGCAAAUUGCUGGUGCGCCACCUGCUGCAGGCACACCCCCAGCACCUACUGGAGCACCUGCUGGAUCACCUGCCGGAACACCUGCUGAAACAACUGCCGGAACACCUGUGAAAGCACCUGCUGUAGCGCCAGAUGAUGAAAAUCCUCCAUUACCUAAUUUAGCACCUCCGGCACCUGCUAACGGAUCUGCUGCUGGAACACCUGCUGUAGCACCUGAUAAACCACCUGCUGCAGCGCCAGUUGCUGGAAAGCCUGCAUUACCUGAUGUAGCACCUCUAGCUCUUGCUAACGGAUCUGCUGCUGGAACACCUGCUGUAGCACCUGAUAAACCACCUGCUGCAGCGCCAGUUGCUGGAAAGCCUGCAUUACCUGAUGUAGCACCUCUAGCUCUUGCUAACGGAUCUGCUGCUGGAACACCUGCUGCAAUACCUGAGGUAGUACCUCCAGCACCUGCUGGAUCACCUGCUGGAACAACUGCCGGAACACCUGUGAAAGCACCUGCUGUAGCGCCAGAUGAUGAAAAUCCUCCAUUACCUAAUUUAGCACCUCCGGCACCUGCUAACGGAUCUGCUGCUGGAACACCUGCUGUAGCACCUGAUAAACCACCUGCUGCAGCGCCAGUUGCUGGAAAGCCUGCAUUACCUGAUGUAGCACCUCCAGCACCUGCUAACGGAUCUGCUGCUGGAACACCUGCUGCAGCGCCAGCUACUGAAACGCCUGCAUUACCUACUGUAGCACUCCCAGCACCUGCCGAAACACCUGAUAGAGCACCUGCUGUAGCACCUUCACCACCAGGGCCGGGAUCAGUAAUGAACCAAGAAGAAGCGCUUCUAAUGGGAAUUAUGUCAGUUUUAGCACCGCAACCUGCUGUUGCUGCCGCAGCACCUGCCAAUACUGCCGCAGCACCUGCCAAUGCUGCCGCAGCACCUGCCAAUGCUGCCGCAGCACCUGCCAGUGCUGCCGCAGCACCUGCCAAUGCUGCCGCAGCACCUGCCAGUGCUGCCGCAGCACCUGCCAAUGCUGCCGCAGCACCUAAUAAUACUGCUGCAGCACCUAAUGAUACUGCCGCUGCACCUGCUAAUAUAACAACACCUUCUAAUGUAACUAUCGAUAGAGUGCCCGAUAAUACUAUCCAAAACGGAACCUCAGGCCAAAAUCUAGUUAGCGUGCCAUCAGCUGGAAAUAAGACAGCUAGUAACGACUCAACACAAGUGGAGCCGGAUAGUCUUACGCCACACGCGAGAAACACUAAACAUAGGCACCCACAUCCCACGACAAGUAAAGAUCAAAAGGAGCCUCCACGCGUGCAACGACUGCCCCAGAUGAGACGACUAAGGGUAACAAACAGACAAAAGCCCCACCAAAAGAGGCCACAAAGGCUGAGGUUACUCCAACUGCCUCUGCAAGUAAACAACAAUCAAAAGCACAUUCCACCAAAGCUCACCAUACGGCAGCCGAAGGUUAGACGUCAUGCGCUCAGAAUGAGGAAUACAAACAGUAGUGCUGAGCCUGUUCGAGUUACUUUAGGUAUAUUGGUACAUAUGCUACGCUAAUGAAAAAAUGCUCCUCAGUUCCUGUGAAUAAAACUUUUGCGAAGGUUGGGCUAUUGAAAACCGAUUGAAGUUUAUCUGCUAAAAUCGCUAGCGAUAACCACGUGUGAAAUUAUAGACUUCCAAGGCUGUUCAGGCUGAAAAUGUAAAUUGACGCCUUGUAAAUUAUUUUCAUUUAUUGAGCAAUUAACACAUCUUUAAUCAUGAGGGUUUUUGCAAGGUUGUCAGGUCCGCAUUGUCCGUGCAAAUAGUUAAAAUAAGUUACAGUAUGUUUUGAAGAUCUGGGACUUAAAAUCAGUGGCUAUUCUUGAAAGGUGGCAACGAUGUCUACCUGCCAUUCAAAUAUCAUGUAAGACGAUCAGUAAUUCCAAGGAGGGCAACCUACUCCACCGAUAAUCAGUAUUUGUCAAGGAUUUGAUGGAGGUAAAAACGUUCUGCUACGAACUUGAGAAAAUUGCCACUGCGUAGGAUGAAGUGGAAUAAAACAAAAAUAAUGUAAGGAAGUAAUUGUCCAAGAUUACCAGAGAGAGGGAGGAAAAAUAUAAACACUUUGCAACAGAGAGAGUUAACUCUAAUUUUUUUUUUCCCCCAGUUAGAUCCCUUCCCCCUCUGUCCCUACCAUGCACCAGCCCGAGGUAACCGUUGUUUGAGACCAUCAAAAUCGGGUCGCCUUGCCGGGAAUCGAACCCGAGACCUCCUAAUUGUAGAGCCAGCGCUACAACCACUACACCACAAGAUGCCGACACAAUAAAAAAAAUUUACUGGCCGAUAAAAUUUUUACCCCUUAGUGUGACAAACAAUUAUUUUGAUUUUCAUUAAUAUUUCACUCAAAUAUAUUUAUGAGUUAUGAUGAUGCUUUAUAAUAUUGAAAAACAAUAAACUCUGCAAAAUUUGUCGAAAUGUUUUUGCUUUUUUUGUUUGCAUU